GAUGAACGCUGGCGGCGUGCCUAAUACAUGCAAGUCGAGCGAACGGACGAUAAGCUUGCUUCUCUGAUGUUAGCGGCGGACGGGUGAGUAACACGUGGAUAACCUACCUAUAAGACUUGGAUAACUUCGGGAAACCGGAGCUAAUACCGGAUAAUAUUUUGAACCGCAUGGUUCAAAAGUGAAAGACGGUCUUGCUGUCACUUAUAGAUGGAUCCGCGCUGCAUCAGCUAGUUGGUAAGGUAACGGCUUACCAAGGCAACGAUGCAUAGCCGACCUGAGAGGGUGAUAGGGCACACUGGAACGGAGACACGGUCCAGACUACUACGGGAGGCAGCGGAAGGGAAUGUUGCGCAAUGGGCGAAGGCCUAACGGGGCAGCGCCGCGUGAGUGAAGAAGGUAUUCGGAUCGUAAAACUAUGUUAUUAGGGAAGAACAUAUGUGUAAGUAACUGUGCACAUCUUGACGGUAGCUAAUAAGAAAGCCACGGCUAACUACGUG
rnacentral:rRNA from 1 species